UCCCUGGUAGUAUAUCGGUUAGUACACGCGCCUGUCAUGUAAAGUAAUUGGACCGAUAUCAGGUGCGCGCGAAAGCUGGGUUCGACUCCCAGCCAGGGAG